UGAGGAAUUUUCUGCAAUGGGCGAAAGCCUGACAGAGCAAUACCGCGUGAGGGAAGACGGCUUAAUGAGUUGUAAACCUCUGUUACCUAAGGAGGAAGAUCUGACGUUACUUAGGAGACGAAGCAUCGGCUAACUCCGUGCCAGCAGCCGCGGUAAGACGGAGGAUGCAAGUGUUAUCCGGAAUCACUGGGCGUAAAGCGUGUGCAGGUGGUUUCUUAAGUCCAAUGUUAAACCUUGAGGCUCAACCUCAAUUCAGCAUUGGAAACUGGGAAACUUGAGUAUAGUAGGGGUAGAGGGAAUUUCCAGUGGAGCGGUGAAAUGCGUAGAUAUUGGAAAGAACACCGAUGGCGAAGGCACUCUACUGGGCUAUUACUGACACUCAGAGACGAAAGCUAGGGGAGCAAAUGGGAUUAGAUACCCCAGUAGUCCUAGCCGUAAACGAUGGAUACUCGAUG
rnacentral:rRNA from 1 species